rnacentral:tRNA from 1 species
UAUCUAAAGUAGCUUAAUUUAAAGCUUGAUAUUGAAGCUAUCAUUAUGAGUUUAUACUCCUUAGAUAU